GCAGUCGAACGAUGCUUUCGGGCAUAGUGGCGCACGGGUGCGUAACGCGUGGGAAUCUGCCUUGGGGUACGGAAUAACUCAGAGAAAUUUGAGCUAAUACCGUAUGAUGUCUUCGGACCAAAGAUUUAUCGCCCUGAGAUGAGCCCGCGUAGGAUUAGCUAGUUGGUGGGGUAAAGGCCUACCAAGGCGACGAUCCUUAGCUGGUCUGAGAGGAUGAUCAGCCACACUGGGACUGAGACACGGCCCAGACUCCUACGGGAGGCAGCAGUGGGGAAUAUUGGACAAUGGGCGAAAGCCUGAUCCAGCAAUGCCGCGUGAGUGAUGAAGGCCUUAGGGUUGUAAAGCUCUUUUACCCGGGAAGAUAAUGACUGUACCGGGAGAAUAAGCCCCGGCUAACUCCGUGCCAGCAGCCGCGGUAAUACGGAGGGGGCUAGCGUUGUUCGGAAUUACUGGGCGUAAAGCGCACGUAGGCGGCUUGGUAAGUUAGAGGUGAAAGCCUGGAGCUCAACUCCAGAAUUGCCUUUAAGACUGCCGAGCUAGCAGGUGAGAGAGGUAAGUGGAAUUCCGAGUGUAGAGGUGAAAUUCGUAGAUAUUCGGAAGAACACCAGUGGCGAAGGCGGCUUACUGGCUCAUACUGGACGCUGAGG
rnacentral:rRNA from 1 species